UACAGAGGUCUCAAGCGUUGUUCGGAUUCAUUGGGCGUAAAGGGUGUGUAGGUGGCGCCGUAAGUCGGGUGUGAAAUUUCGGAGCUUAACUCCGAAACUGCAUUCGAUACUGCGGUGCUUGAGGACUGGAGAGGAGACUGGAAUUCAUGGUGUAGCAGUGAAAUGCGUAGAGAUCAUGAGGAAGACCAGUGGCGAAGGCGGGCCUCUGGGCAGUUCCUGACACUGAGACACGAAGGCCAGGGGAGCAAACGGG
rnacentral:rRNA from 1 species